rnacentral:rRNA from 1 species
GAUGAACGCUGGCGGCGUGCCUAAUACAUGCCAGUCGAGCGAACAGAUAAGGAGCUUGCUCCUUUGACGUUAGCGGCGGACGGGUGAGUAACACGUGGGUAACCUACCUAUAAGACUGGGAUAACUUCGGGAAACCGGAGCUAAUACCGGAUAACAUUUGGAACCGCAUGGUUCUAAAGUGAAAGAUGGUUUUGCUAUCACUUAUAGAUGGACCCGCGCCGUAUUAGCUAGUUGGUAAGGUAACGGCUUACCAAGGCAACGAUACGUAGCCGACCUGAGAGGGUGAUCGGCCACCCUGGAACUGAGACACGGUCCAGACUCCUACGGGAGGCAGCAGUAGGGAAUCUUCCGCAAUGGGCGAAAGCCUGACGGAGCAACGCCGCGUGAGUGAUGAAGGGUUUCGGCUCGUAAAACUCUGUUAUUAGGGAAGAACAAAUGUGUAAGUAACUGUGCACGUCUUGACGGUACCUAAUCAGAAAGCCACGGCUAACUACGUG